UACAGAGGUCCCAAGCGUUAUUCGGAUUCACUGGGCGUAAAGGGUGCGCAGGCGGCCGUGUGUGCGAGGCGUGAAAGCCCGGGGCUUAACCCCGGAAUUGCACCUCAAACUACACGGCUAGAGCAUUGGAGAGGGUAGCAGAAUUCACGGUGUAGCAGUGAAAUGCGUAGAUAUCGUGAGGAAUACCAGAGGCGAAGGCGGCUACCUGGACAAUUGCUGACGCUCAGGCACGAAAGCGUGGGGAGCAAAAGGG
rnacentral:rRNA from 1 species